rnacentral:lncRNA from 1 species
AAAGAGAAUAUUUUUUUUAAAGACGUAUUCUUCAUAUUUAUUGUAUUUUUCUGCAUGCAAACAUACUUAUUACAUGUUUUUUUAACGGGAAAGCAAAAUCCAGCAAGAAGCUGGAAUGUUACAAUACGAAAAGGAAACAACAACUGGUAUAGUGAAGGGUACACCAUGAUACGAAUAAAAUUCAUAAUGAAUAGAACUACUGCUCGAAUAUUCAUUUGAACCACUUUGAUCUUCUACCCAAAAAUCUAAACCCCAAGAGCAGAAUUAAUAUCCCAAAUAUCACAAAUAUCACGACGCAAGUUAUACGAAGCAUUUUGUAAUCAGAUGGCACAAUUGCAAAGGUGCAAUUAGCAUGGUUUACGGUUAAUACAAUCAUUGAAAUCUGCAAUUCGCGCAUCAAAGGGAAAUCAACAGUGAGCAUGUAAAUCAUGUAAACUGACAUGUAGAACCCUAAGGAAUUCGUAAUAACAAAUACAGCAUAUGGUGCUUGAUUUCUGUGGGUACCCAUAAUAGCUUCUCCAGCAUAGUGGUGUUUAAUGGUAGGAGUACCAUCAUCUGCGAGUUGCGGUAAAGUACUAUUGCCUGUGUCCCCCCAAAGUCCUCCAGGAGGACUAAGUGAGGUUUGAUAUGUUGCAGUUGUGAUAAGUAUAACCACCACAAGAAGGGUAUUCCUAAUUUCGAUAGAAGAGCCUCUGAGUUUAUACUCUAUGAACUUGUCUAACCAAUCUCUAUGCGGAGAAUGAGGGUUUUCAUGUUUAGUUUAUGGUAGACUUAGAUUUUGACUCAUGGUUAUAAUUAGGUUCUAAGAAAAGAAAUCUUGCUAUAUUGAUAUAUUUUACAUGCAAACGCUAACAAAGGGUUUAUAUAAGGAAAUUAGCACGCCAGGUGCAUGUAUCGUAGACCUUGUAAUUGAGUCUAUUGAAGUUACAAGGAAGCUUGUAAUCGGGUCCACUGAAGUUGGAAGAAGCCUCAAAUGGUGUCCUCCAUUCAACUGUUGCCAGUAUUGUGCUUGCUAAGUGACGUUGAGCCAUGACGUUUACAUUAAAGAUGUGGACCUCCAUUCAAAUGAUAACAAUAUUUUUGUUCAUGGAGAUGUGACAAUGGAAUGUACGUACGACGUCCUGAUAAAUAAUUAAAUAUAUACAGACAGUCAAACACUACUAGGGUGUGCAAAAAACCUGUAACCAAACAACUGAACCGUUUUGAAAAAACCGAGGGUUUGGUUAGUUUUUUAAUCGGAUGGUAUUAUUGUUUUGUGUUAAUUUUAGUAUUGCAUAUUGUUAUGCUUUAGAAUCUCAGUUUUCAUUGGGCUGCUACUUAAUCCGUGAAUCUUCUCUUUCUUUGUAUCUUCUCAUUAAAAGACAAAACAAUAGUUGCUGCAUAAAUAAAAUGUAAUACUACAUUUGCUAAUCUUCUCUUUCUUUGUAUUUUUCCAUCGAAGACAAAACAACACAAUAGCAGCCGCUGAAAAAUGAAUAGAAAACAUUAAAAAUAUUCCGCUACAACUUGAAGUUUAAUUUAUUUUCUUUCACAUCAAUUUCAAACCAGUAGAAAACUACUUAGGUAUUGAAAAUCUUUAAGCUAUUGAAAUAAAAUAGAAACUUGAAAUAACGUAUGAGUAUCCGAAAUAGGCCCUAUGAAAAGAAAAAAAAAAAAGAUGUACACCCCUUGUAUAAUGACAUUACACAUAGGAUGAGAAAAAAUCGCAUCACAAAUAAAAUUAACCGCAAAAAUUGCAUAAACCGCUACCUAUAACCCACAACCACAAUAAAAACCGAUGAUGAGGUUUCUGUUUUUCAAAAACCGAAAAUUUGCGGUGCGGUGUGGUUAUUAGUUUUCAAAAACCGCAAAAAACCGCACCGCAUAUGUUAUAUACGAUUUUUUUUAUUAAUUAUUUAUAUAUCAAAUAUUAUAAAUAAGACAAGUUUAAUGGAUGAAAGAUGGAAAAAAUACUAGAAUACAAAACUAUUGGUUUUUGUUAUGUUUAACUUUGAAAAAUGGUAAAAUUCGACAAUUUUAAGAUAUUUAUUGUUAAUUACUAUUGAUUUUACGUUUUUAAGAUAUUAGUUGUUUGUGAUUUAUGUUGAUUGUCUUAUACCAUAUGGUUUUUUUUAUCAUUACAAAUAAUAUGUUUGAACUUUUAAAACCCUUAAUAAUCGCACCAAAUCUAUGCGGUUAAUAACUGCAACAAAAAAAAAACAAAAAACAAAACUGCACCGCAAAAAUAACCGCCUAACUGCACCGCUAAAAUAACUGCACCAAGAGAUUUUGAAAAUGGAUUAACCGCAUUUGCAGUUAGUGGUGAGGUUUUGGUUAAUAACCAUACCGCGCUCACCCCUAAUUACACAUGUUUGAUGUUCAUGCCUUGGAAUACCCACGAAAGGAAAUUUGCUUCAAUUGUCUAGCACAUAAGUGGCAAGUUUAAAUGCAUUUAAUUUCUCAUAUAGUUUUUAUGUACAAAAGUAUAAUCCAUGGUAACAUCCAAGAAAAGUUACAGUUACCAGUUACCGACAAUUAUUCUCAUAAUAUUGGAUACAUACAAAAAAUAAAGAUCAAUCAACUAUAUCAACAAUACACAAAAGUACACCGGACUUGAUUUGAAAUGAUCCUAUAUUAUCCGGAGGUACUAUACAUGACAUUAUAGGCUUUAAAUCGCUCCAAGUUAGAUCACCAAUGUCAGACUAGCCCACUUGGUUGGGGUUUUGCCUCUAGAUUUGAGGUAUUGGUUUCUAAAUCAUGUGUUAACAAUUUCUACUCACCAGCUGUUCAAAAGAAGAAAUCUCCAAGAGCAUGUACUACCCAUUCUCGACUCAUCUGAGAUCAUGCAUCCUAAUACAUUUUUUAUUCAGUAUGGUCGCAUGUGGUAUCACUAAAAGCAAAGCAAUUGAAAUGCAAACAAAACCAAAUGUUAAGGAACCUUUGUUAACUUAACGUGACGAAUUUAUGUUUUACACAACAAGAGUUUAAUUUUGUGCACGAAAGGAUAAAGAGGAAGAAUACACACACGCCACUAUUUCAAUGUGUGUUUCUUGAUACAAUUAAAAAGGAAAACGAAGUGGCAUGAAAGGAUUACAUGAAAAACGAAUGCAAGAAUAAAAUAGCGAGUUGUAUAAACCCUAGUAUACAAGGGUUAGUUGAGUCGAACGGUUUGACUUGUUGACUUUAUUUGACUUUGACUUGACUAGCAUUUGACGGUUGUCACAACAUGUCAUCGGUAUAGCGUGGCUUUUGCCGACGACCUAUUUUGUUUGCGUAAGUGUCGUAUCCAUAGGGCUAGAUCCUUGUAGUGUUUACUGGUUUUUCUAAGGAGAUGGGUUCUGAAGUUCUAAAUAUAUACAAGUUUUCAAUGGCAGUUCUGGAUUGAGAAAGUCAUGCUUAUGCUUCCUAGAUUCUCUAUCGUCACUGAAGUUGAAUAAGCGAGGACACCAUAAUGUUGACUCUGAUACAGAUCAAGAACACUUAUGUCAUCUUCUUGAUGGUAAAGCUGAAUUUUCUGAUUUUUGACUUGAUCUGGAUGAGAAACACAAAUAUUUAUGACAAAACUUUCAAAAUGGUACCUACAGUUUCACGAAAUCUGAAGUUUGGUCCCUAAUUUACAAAAACCUUACGGAUGGUCCAUGUGGUUUCAAAACUUUUAAUGUUUAGUCAUUCCGUCUAACUCUGUCAUCUUUCUACCGUUAAGUGAGGGGCAUUUUCGUCAUUUCAAUACCUAGGGACCAUUUAUGAAGGUUUUCUAUUAUUUUAAAUAAAAAUAAAAAAUGAAACCUCUCUCUCUCUCUCUCUAUGUGUGUGUGUGUAAAACCAAGACUCCAUCUCCACGAUUCCAUCGUCGCCUGUCGCCUCUCUCAAUCAUGUUUGCAAAAAAAGUUCCUGAAAUCCUUAAAUAAAUCGAUUUUGCAGAUCAGAUCUUUGAAACUCAAUUAAAAACAAACACAAAAAGCAAAGCAAAGCACUUACAAUUGAAGAAGGUUGUACAGGUGUAUCUUCCAUAGCAUUGGUAGUUCCAUUUAAAUGCUGAGAGACAAUAAGCAUAAUCUGGUGCAACAAAUUGGACAAAAAAGCCCCUUCUUCAGUGACCACUAGCAAUAGCACACCCAUAGAGCUUUAGGAAGCUUCAGAAGGCGGCACUAAAAUCCUAAUGGGGACUACCAACACCUCUGAUCCCCUACUUUGCCUAAGGGCAUUUUCAUGAUUCGUAACUCCACUAUCAGCAGGAGUUGCUGCUGCUGAGCGCUCUCCACCACCAUUUGUUUCCCUUAUCACUAAACUAAAGAAAGUGCAUAUAAGAAGUUAAUGGAAUGGAAAUCCAUUAAAAUCAGAAUGUGAGAAUAGUAAUAGUGUAAUAUACAUGUAUGUAUUUUGAUAUCAAUAUUCUGUGGACGUAAACCAAAACCAAAAUUAUUAGUGCCAGAGGCUGACCCUGUGACUACUACAGUUACAGAUGGAGGUGGAGGUGGAUGUGUGGUUGUUCAAAAACUACUGCCAGGUUGAAAAGGUAGAGGCUACAUCAUUGUUGGAUUUGACCCAGAUGUUGAUACGAAACCAACGAUGUUGCUCUGGACAUAAAACGCCAUCUCCACGGCGUUUCAAGGCGACACUGACAUGGGUUCCUACCAAUCUGGCUGGUCCGGUGACUAAAACAGAGAACCCGUUUCUUAAUUUUGUGAAUGAUUUCAUUGGGGUUGCUAAUCGAUUUCAUGCCUGUUACUCAGGCUCAAUUUCUUGGUGAACUUUUAGGAGAGAGAGAAAGAGAGAGAGAGAGAGAGAGAGAGAGAGAGAGAGAGAGAGACCCUUUUUAUGAUGCUCGUGAUUUGACAUGUUGACGAAAGGAGGAAGAGGAUUGUCUAAGAAUAAAGAUCCACCUUCAGACUACGAUGAGGGAGGAAGAGAAGGCUGGGAUGGGGAUCUGUGACAACCCAAAGUUAUCCAUCGCCGAAACCCAAUUCGUUCGUAAGACCCGUUUUUAGCAAUUCGUUUCCGAUUUCGUAAUUAAAUUAAGUCAUUAAUUUGAAAUUAUUAUUACGACUUAAUGGGUGUCUCAACACAUUUAGAACUCAUUUUAGCACCCCCAUUCUAGUUAUCGCAAAAAUUUAAGAAUCAACCAUAUCGGGUUACGGCAACUUUAUCGGGUUUGACCAAAAGCCACGUCUAACGUCGGUAUCGGGUAGAAUUCCACCGUGUCCAAAUCUUAAACAAUAUUUAAAGAUGUUUAAGCUUCCAUUUGAAGCUUUUUCCCUCUCUCACUACUCUCUCUCUAACCUCUCUCCUCAAACCAAAGAACUAGGUCCAAAACUCCAAUUUAAGGCUCCAAAUCCUUGAGGUAACUUCCCUAACUUGUUAUUCAACCUCCUUAGCCUUCAAAUCCGAAUUUAAACUUUGAUUUUGGACCUCAAACAUGAGUUUAUGGCCAAGGAGCACGCUUGGCCCGUAAACACCUAAUAAGAGGGUUUUUAUGCCUUUAAACCUCUCCAAACCAAUUUUGGGACUUAGAUACGACUAUAUGGCUUACCAUUCUGGACUUAGAACACCCUAAACAUGAAUUUUGAGGAGUAAACAUGAGUUUAUUGCCCAAAAUCAUGCUUGGGCUGUAAACUCAUCAUUCAUGGAGAGUAAACUCAAAACCAAGUGUUUAAAAGCCAUUUAAACACACCAUUAGCCUUGGAAUAAAUCCUAGAACCAACCAAAAUCAAUUUGGGGACCCUAAACAUAAUAAAAACUCUUCAUUUGAGAGUUUACGGCCAUAAAUCCCCAAGAAAUAGUUCCAGGGCCGUAAACUCAUAAAAACAUGUUAAAUGGUGCCCUAAACUCAUUCUAAGGCUUGUAAAAAUAGUUUGAAUCACAGGUGAUUGUCCUAGCUUCACAAAAUAAAUUAAGGAUUGAGCAUGGGGGAGUUUACGGUCGUAAACUCCAUGUUUACUGCCAUAAACUCCAAUAAAUGGUCCUUAAGUGACUUUAAUCCAUUCCAAGGCCCUAGAUUAAAACCUAGCUAAUUUUCCCAAGUGUUAUCAUGCCAUUUAACACCAUAAAACCCCUAAUCAUGAGUUCACGGCCGUUAACUCAUGUGGUUAUGGUCUUAGGGCCGAAAACUCCAUAAGGAGUUUACUCUUGAAGAGUAAACUCAUUUACCAAGUCCCACACGUCCUUAGAUGUCACCCGGGUCGCUCCAAACGCUUUAUUUGAGGUGUUUUCGCAUCCUAGAGUAAAUAGUCAUAUCUAAUUAGUGAAUUAAAGUCUAAUUAGAUACAAAUGUGUAUCAUUUCACAUUACAUAGGAACCUCGCACAUUUUCAAGCCUUGAACUGACGUUUAGCAUCCAAACCGACACAUUCCGCGAUUGGUGAGUUCAUACCCCUACGCCUUUUUCCGUGUUUUUCAAUGUUUUCAGGAGGGAAUACAAGAAAAAUAUUAAAUGUUAUCAAAACAUAAAACUGAUAUAUUUCUAUAAAUAUCUGGCUAACCUUUAGAUAUCUUUACCCCUUAUGUAUUAUGCUGAGCAUAAGGGAUGUUUUAUCGAUUAUAACUACAUGGAUUUCAGUAAAGGAAACAAUCAAAUUAAUCAAAUUAUUAUGGGAAUAAUUUGGGAUCUUUAGUUCUUCUUUAAUGAGUACAGAUUUAUGUAAAGUUAAUAGAUAAACUAUGUCGGAUUCAGUUUAUCUCCGUUUAAUUUAGAAUAUAUUACCAGAUAACUUCAUUGUAUUUAACUAUUUCUAUUGUAUUAUGUUUCGAUACGAUUUGUAUGUCUGAUAACGUCUGAGAACCCCAUGAAUAACAUGAUACUAGCUUGUGAGAUUCGUCAUUGUUAUCAGUAAAUCCUCCCCGGAAGUGUAACCAGAGUCUCCUGGAGGGAGAGCGUGGAAUUUGUGAAUAGAGCUAUUCGGGACUGACAAUCCCACACCUUAACUGCUAGCUACAGUUAGGCGGGCAUGCCUGGGGUGACAAGUUCUGGAAAUCGUCCGACGUCUGACAAACGUCAAGGAGGUCUCGGUGUCGCAUUAGCAUGGUUACCCGACUCACAAUACGUAUUAAUAUAAGUUUAUUCACGGAUUGAAUUUCAUAUCUACUUUCUAUCUAUAGUUCCUAUAUCUAGUACGAAAGAUAGUCCCAUGAUUUUAAAUCUAUAUCUAGUACGGGAUGAUAGUCCCGUGCUUUUCAAUCUAUAUCUAGUAUGGGAUGAUAGUCCCAUGGUUUUCAAUCUAUAUCUAGUACGGGAUGAUAGUCCCAUGGUUUUCAAUCUAUAUCUAUACGGGAUGAUAGUCACAUGGUUUUCAAUCUGUAUCUAUCCUUAGUUUUCAUGUAUCAAGGCUAUCUUAUAUCUGGUACGGGAUAGUAAUCUCAGGAUUUUCAGUAAAUAGUUUUAUGCGUAAAACUAUACAAUGUGGUUCUUAACUAAAACUUUACUUUUAGGAAAAUAUAGGAUUUUCCUGGGAUAACACUGUACAUAACCAUAAUCGUGUAAGAAAACAGUUAACCAAACAUUACUUUUAAGAAAAUAUGGGAUUUUCUUGGAUUCAUAACUUUUUCGGAAAAACAAAGGAAACUUAAACAUUUUCAGAAAAACAAACAUCUUAUGAACUCACCAGCUUUAUGCUGAUUUUCAAACUGCUUGUAUUCUCAGGUCCAUAUUAGACAGGUACCCAGCGAUCCUUUUUAGAGAAGACGGAGCGUACUGAAGAACUCGUCUUAUCUUCUGUUCAUAUAUACCUAUGUAUAACACUUGUGAUACUUUACUUUUGAACAAUUGUAAAUUUCAAUAUGUAAUGUAAUGGUUGUUUACUUUGCUUACUAUGUGCAUUGGAUUUGAUACUCAACGUGGAGUCCGCCCCGAAAAUGUUUCCGCCUUCGGUUUUCGGGGUGCGACAGAUUGGUAUCAGAGACCUUGUUUAUAGUGAACUAGUAUACCAAACCUUACAUGGUAUAAGACUAUAAACACUAAGGGGCCUAAGUGCUCUGAACUAAAAGUAUCCUUCAAAAUAUAAGUAUUUUCAAAAGUAUACAAGUAUACCGAACCAUCGAGAUUCGUAAUCACAAGUAAAACAAAACAUAUGUAAAUGGGUGUUGUGUACUACGGUUAAACCUGGGCAGUUAUGUAGUUGUGUCUAGGAUCAAUAUAGCCUGGCCAACUAUAUUCAUUCGAGACACGGCUAACAUGUUCUUGGGAGUGACUGUGGUAUGCGGCAUGCCUAAAACUUACCCAAUACCCAAACAACGAGCCAUCGCUACAGCGAAUCAUGAAAUACUAUAGGAGUAUUUCUCAAGCCAAACCCAUUAUAGAAAUUCUCAUUGCAGCGUUGAUCCUCGAUCAUUCCCUUAGCGAUAGCUAAUCUGCUUUGUUAACUCUUUCCUGCUUUAUUGCUUAAUAGAAUACCAUAUAUCUGUCUUAAUGAGAUAUCUCUUGUCCCAUAUCUCUUGAUUCAAUUUAGAGGACUUAUGAUCCUCUCUUUCCCGAUCUUAUUAGAUCAAUAUGCCUCCAAGAAAGAGACCCAGCUCAAAAACCAACAACCCUCCGCCACUACCUUCUCCUCAAAUUGAUCUUGUAACGCUUCAGGCAGCUAUUACUGCCGCAGUGACAACCGCCAUGUCACAAAGAAACCCCGGUAGUUUAGGAGGUGGUCCCCAACACCAAAACCAAGAAGAUAACCAGGGACACCGAAAGAAGGGUUCCUAUAAAGAUUUCAUGAGCGCAAAACCCACAUCCUUGAUGGCAUUGGAGGUGUCAUUUUCCUCACCCAAUGGUUCGAGAAGAUCGAAUCCAUCUUUGAAAUUUGUGCAUGCUCAGAAUCUGACAAAUUGAAGUAUGUCGCCUGCACCUUCAUCGAUAAAGCCCCGACUUGGUGGAAUGCCCGAGUCAAAUCCUUAACUUUACCUGUAGCCAACGCCAUGGGUUGGGAAGCCAUGAAGUAACUUCUACUGGCUGAGUACUGCCCUCGGGGCGAAAUGCAGAAGUUAGAACACGAACUCUGGAACCUGAAGAUGAAGGGUUCUGAUAUCGUCGCUUACACUUCCAGGUUCGAUGACUUGGCACUAUUCUACCCGGGAAUGGUUACCCCAGAGAGUAAGAAGAUAGAGAGAUUCAUCUGGGGGUUGACCCAGCCAACAAAAGGAAACCUCUUAGUUGCGAGGCCGAAUACAUAUGACAGCUCCAAAUGCUUAGCACGAAUCUUAAUCGACCAUAGUGAUGACCUUGAGGAAACAACUACUACUCCUGAGCCGACGGAGAGGAGUGGUGAGAAAAGGAAAAUUGGAAAGAAGAAGGAAUGUCAGACAUUGCAGGAGUCUUCAAAGAGGCAUCAACUUGUGGCAGUUCACGCUGCUACUACCCCUGCAACUAUUUCUGUUGUUGGAUCCUCAGCUCGAAAACCUACCAGUAGGUAUGCGGGAACCCUCCCUAGUUGUGACAAGUGCAAAUAUCAUCACCUCACUUCCAGCCCAGGUAUAGAGAUGUUUUGCAACAGUUGUGGCAUAAAGGGUCACAUGGAGAAAAACUGUAAGACACCAACUCAUUCAACCAAUCAAGCUUCCGGAGCGGGCAUUGGUCAAGCCUGCUAUGGUUGCGGAGAAGUUGGGCAUCUCAAGCGAAACUGCCCUAAGGCAGUAACAUCUGGCAACACCGGAAGAGUCCUAGCGAUAGGACGAGAGGAAAGAACCACCGAUCCCACCGUUGCCAUAGGUAUAAUUCCCCUCGAUGAAUCUUAUGCCUGUGAUUCUUUUCGAUUCUAAUGCUAAAAGAAAUUUGCUAACCAUUCAUUCAAACAUCUUUCUAAACUUUGUCCUUCGUUAGUAAUCAAAAAUGUGUACCGUCGAGAUGGUUAACAAGUAAGAAGGAGAACGCUAACGUCAUAUCCAUAGAUUGUAUCCUCAAUCCGGACAAUUAUUCUUUUCCAUUCGAUCUAAUGGCAAACUUUUCAUGAAAUGCUUUGAUACCAUCUUUGGCAUGUAAUGACCGAGCCUCAUUGAUGUUGUUAUUCUUGGUUUCGAGAAAGCCAUCCAUCUUAAAUUUUCCCCGAAACAACUCUCAUGAUCUUCGUGCAUCAAAUCUUAAAAAGUUUUCCCAUGUAUUUCUCGUCCGUGUGAUCAACGAGAAACUAGAAGUCUACAACUCUUCCCCCGAUGCCUUUUUCGAAGAAUUCCUGAGAAUUCUUCCUGAACGUGUAAUCAAGUCUCGCAUCGACCUAAUCCCUGGAAUUACCUCAUAGCCAAAAACCUCAGUGAGAAUGAUGUGUCCAAGACAACAACCAGGACUUGAUAUGAUCACUACGAGUUAGUAGUGGUACCCUUUGGUCAAAUCAUUUUCCUUAGUCAUGUAGAUAAGCAAAGCAGUCAUACCCGUGGACCUUUCCAAAAACUAUGGCGAUAGAGAUUUAGUCAGCACUGGAGAUACCCAUAGAAAACCCGUCAAUCCAUGGGUCCCGCUGGCUAAUAUCGCAGACCCACCUAGAAAUUUCCUUUAGAAUCGUUAAACCUUUAGCUAUUCUACCAUAUGAAGAUGUACCCUCUUGUUGGAAGUCUUACUCUGGAGAGACAUAGUACGCCUUGAGAAGUGCGGAAAACUUAACUCGUGGUACAUUAGAACCUUCGAGAUCCUCGUUAGGAAUCGAUUCCGUAGCCCUCUCCGAGCUAUCUUCAGAACUCAGCAGCAACCAUCUGGUAUUCCAUAUCUUUGUUCAUAAGAAGUGCCGACUCGACGAAACCCUAGUAAUCCCUUUGAUGAGAUCGAAAUCAACGGAAACCCAAACCUCCAUAGAAGAAUCAAUUGAGAUCAUGGAUUGAGAGGUUGAACGUACGAAGCAAAGCCGCAUCCCGGUAGUGAGGGUUCGCUGGAAUGUCAAGCGGAGACCCGAUUCCACUUAGGAGCGUGAAGACCCGAUGCAGUAGAUUCAUUCUCGUCAUUCUUUUCACUUCAUGAUCUGUAUCCAAAUCUUUGAAUUUCGGGACGAAAUUCCCUCUAACGGGGGGAUAAUGUGACAACCCGAAGUUAUCCAUCGCCGAAACCCAAUUCUUUCGUAAGACCCGUUUUUAGCAAUUCGUUUCCGAUUUCGUAAUUAAAUUAAGUCAUUAAUUUGAAAUUAUUAUUACGAAUUAAUGGGUGUCUCAACACAUUUAGAACUCAUUUUAGCACCCCAUUCUAGUUAUCAGAAAAAUUUUAGAAUUAACCAUAUCGGGUUACGGCAACUUUAUCGGGUUUGACCAAAAGCCACGUCUAAUGUCGAUAUCGGGUAGAAUUCCACCGUGUCCAAAUCUUAGACACUAUUUAAAGAUGUUUAAGCUUCCAUUUGAAGCUUUUUCCCUCUCUCACUACUCCCUCUCUAACCUCUCUCCUCAAACCAAAGAACUAGGUCCAAAACUCAAAUUUAAGGCUCCAAAUCCUUGAGGUAACUUCCCUAACUUGUUAUUCAACCUCCUUAGCCUUCAAAUCCGAAUUUAAACUUUGAUUUUGGACCUCAAACAUGAGUUUAUGGCCAAGGGGCAUGCUUGGGCUGUAAACACCUAAUAAGAGGGUUCUUAUGCCUUUAAACCCCUCCAAACCAAUUUUGGGACUUAGAUACGACUAUAUGGCUUACCAUUCUGGACUUAGAACACCCUAAACAUGAAUUUUGAGGAGCAAACAUGAUUUUACUGCCCAAGAUCAUGCUUGGGCUGUAAACUCAUCAUUCAUGGAGAGUAAACUCAAAACCAAGUGUUUAAAAGCCAUUUAAACACACCAUUAGCCUUGGAAUAAAUCCUAGAACCAACCAAAAUCAAUUUGGGGACCUUAAACAUAAUAAAAACUCUUCAUUUUAGAGUUUAGAGCCAUAACUCCGCAAGAAAUAGUUCCAGGGCCGUAAACUCAUAAAAACAUGUUAAAUGGUGCCCUAAACUCAUUCUAAGGCUUGUAAAAAUAGUUUGAAUCACAUGUGAUUGUCCUAGCUUCACCAAAUAAAUUAAGUAUUGAGCAUGGGGGAGUUUACUGCCGUAAACUCCAUGUUUACUGCCAUAAACUCCAAUGAGUUUAAUCCAUUCCAAGGCCCUAGAUUAAAACCUAGCUAAUUUUCUUAAGUGUUAUCAUGCCAUUUAACACCAUAAAACCCCUAAUCAUGACUUCACGGCCGUAAACUCUUGUGGUUAUGGUCUUAGGGCUAAAAACUCCAUAAGGAGUUUACUCUUGAAGAGUAAACUCAUUUCCCAAGUCCUACACAUCCUUAGAUGUCACCCAGGUCGCUCCAAACGCUUGAUUUGAGGUGUUUUCGCAUCCUAGAGUAAAUAAUCAUAUCUAAUUAGUGAAUUAAAGUCUAAUUAGAUAAAAAUGUGUAUCAUUUCACAUUAUAUAGGAACCUCGCGCGUUUUUAAGCCUUAAAAUGACGUUUAGCAUCCAAACCGACACAUUCCGCGAUUGGUGAGUUCAUACCCCUACGCCUUUUUCCAUGUUUUUCAAUGUUUUCAGGGGGGAAUACAAGAAAAAUAUUAAAUGUUAUCAAAACAUAAAACUGAUAUAUUUCUAUAAAUAUCUGGCUAACCUUUAGAUAUCUUUACCCCUUAUGUAUUAUGUUGAGCAUAAGGGAUGUUUUAUCGAUUAUAACUACAUGGAUUUCAGUAAAGGAAACAAUCAAAUUAAUCAAAUUAUUAUGGGAAUAAUUUGGGAUCUUUAGUUCUUGUUUAAUGAGUACAGAUUUAUGUAAAGUUAAUAGAUAAACUAUGUCGGAUUCAGUUUAUCUCCGUUUAAUUUAGAAUAUAUUGCCAGAUAACUUCAUUGUAUUUAACUAUUUCUAUUGUAUUAUGUUUCGAUACGAUUUGUAUGUCUGAUAACGUCUGAGAACCCCGUGAAUAACAUGAUACUAGCUUGUUAGAUUCGUCAUUGUUAUCAGUAAAUCCUCCCCGGAAGUGUAACCAGAGUCUCCUGGAGGGAGAGCGUGGAAUUUGUGAAUAGAACUAUUCGGGACUGACAAUCCCACACCUUAACUACUAGCUACAGUUAGGCGGGCAUGCCUGGGGUGACAAGUUCUAGAAAUCGUCCGACGUCUGACAAACGUCAAGGAGGUCUCGGUGUCGCAUUAGCAUGGUUACCCGACUCACAAUACGUAUUAAUAUAAGUUUAUUCACGGAUUGAAUUUCAUAUUUACUUUCUAUCUAUAGUUCCUAUAUCUAGUACGGAUGAUAGUCCCAUGAUUUUAAAUCUAUAUCUAGUACGGGAUGAUAGUCCCGUGCUUUUCAAUCUAUAUCUAGUAUGGGAUGAUAAUCCCAUGGUUUUCAAUCUAUAUCUAGUACGGGAUGAUAGUCCCAUGGUUUUCAAUCUAUAUCUAUACGGGAUGAUAGUCACAUGGUUUUCAAUCUUUAUCUAUCCUUAGUUUUCAUGUAUCAAGGCUAUCUUAUAUCUGGUACGGGAUAGUAAUCUCAUGAUUUUCAGUAAAUAGUUUUAUGCGUAAAACUAUACAAUGUGGUUCUUAACUAAAACUUUACUUUUAGGAAAAUAUAGGAUUUUCCUGGGAUAACACUGUACAUAACCAGAAUCGUGUAAGAAAACAGUUAACCAAACAUUACUUUUAAGAAAAUAUGGGAUUUUCUUGGAUUCAUAACUUUUUCGGAAAAACAAAGGAAACUUAAACAUUUUCAGAAAAACAAACAUCUUAUGAACUCACCAGCUUUAUGCUGAUUUUCAAACUGCUUGUAUUCUCAGGUCCAUAUUAGACAGGUACCCAGCGAUCCUUUUUGGAGAAGACGGAUCGUACUGAAGAUCUCGUCUUAUCUUUUGUUCAUAUAUACCUAUGUAUAACACUUGUGAUACUUUACUUUUGAACAAUUGUAAAUUUCAAUAUGUAAUGUAAUGGUUGAUUACUUUGCUUACUAUGUGCAUUGGAUUUGAUACUCAAUGUGGAGUCCGCCUCAGAAAUGUUUCCGCCUGCGGUUUUUGGGGUGUGACAGGAUCAGAGUGUUUACUAGAGGAACCAAUGGUAGAAUUUUUUGGUGACAAACGGCGAGGAAUGAUGCAAUGGUGGGGGAAACGAAGGAUGAUCUGAUUCAUGAGAGAGAGAGAGAUAGAGAGAGAGAGAGAGAGAGAGAGGUGGGGCCCUUUAACAUUAAAUAGUUAUAUUUAUUUUUCUUUUUUUUAAAUUAAGGCAAAACUUCAUAAAUGGUCCCUGUGGUUGUGAAAUGACAAAAAUGCCCUUCACUUAACGGCUAAAUGUUAACGGAUUUAGCGAAAAGGACCAUUUGUUAAAAGUUUUGAAACCACCGGGACCAUCUGUGAGGUUUUUAUAAAUUAGAGACUAAACUUCAGAUUUUCGGAAACCACAGAGACCAUUUGAAGUUUUGUCAAUAUUUAUUGAUAACGGGACUCUAAGUUUGUUUCUUAAAAAUUAGUUAAAUUAAUAAAGAAGGAAAAUAUAUGAUGAAAGAGAAUAUUUUUUUAAAGAAGGAUUCUUCAUUUAUUGUAUUUUUCUGCAUGCAAACAUAGUUAUUACAUGUUUGUUUAACGAGAAAGCAAAAUCCAGCAACAAGCUGGAAUGUUACAAAAGGAAAAGGAAACAACAGUUGGUAUACCAAUUUGAAGGCUACACCAUGAUACGAUAAAAUUCAUAAUAAUGAAUAGAACUACUGCUCGAAUAUUCAUUUGAACCACUUUAAUCUUCUACCCAAAAAUCUAAACCCUACGAGCAUAAUUAAUGUCCCGAAUAUCACAAAUAUCACGAUGCAAGUUAUACGAAGCAUUUUGUAAUCAGAUGGCACAAUUGCAAAGGUGCAAUUAGCAUGGUUUAUGGUUAAUACAAUCAUUGAAAUCUGCAAUUCGUGUAUCAAAGGGAAAUCAACGGUGAGCAUGUAAAUCAUGUAAACUGAC